UAAUCAAAGGGGAAAUCUAAUAAUCCAAAUCAAGAAUGUAAUCUAAUCCACAUGGAUAUGAACAAUCAUCGUACAAUAGUACAAUUGAAUGAAAAUCAAACAUUAACCAUAUUAAUCAAAACAAAAAUUAUAUCAACAAAAUGGAGUAGCCAGCCCUAAGGACAAGUUAUACUAAUCAUGGCAAGAUUAAUCAACUACGAAAUUAAUUCUAAAAAAUGACAAAUAUCUAGUUAAAGAUAAUUAAACCUAAUUCUUAAUCUAAUGAUCACCAUUAAUCCAACUAAUAAAUUAAACUGUUGGAGAUUGAAGGUGGAGAUGUUUGGAGAGUUUUUAAAGUAUUUUGGUUUUGCUAUGAGGAGCUUCGAUUGCCAUUCGGUUAUCGUUUUGUGAAGUUAGUUGAGGUUGGUUUCAUUUUCGGUUCAAGAGUUUUUGUGUUAUGUUAGAAGGGUGUAGAGAGAGGUUCAAGUUGUGUUCUGCAGGGUCUUUGAAGGGGUUGUAGGGAGCUGCAAAAUGGUUAUGUUGUGGAGGUUCUGCGAGCAGGGUGGUCAUCAAAGAAGUGGUUGAUGGUGUGAGGUUUUCGGUUAGUUAUUCUUGGACAGUUGGAGGAGGUUGGCCGGUUCAGGAAAUUGAAGAUUGUUGGUUCAGGUUCAGUUAGAAAUUGGUUGUUGCGGUUAUAGAGUUUGUUAGGAUUCAAUUAGGAGCUUAACCGUUAAAUCCUUCAGUUAGUGGUCUGAAAGCGUCUUUUCCGAAUGAAGAAGAUUGGUUACAUAUGAGAUUGCAUUGCUUCAACCUAUUAUACCUUCUGUCCUGGCCUGGUAAUGUAUGUGAUGGCUGCCACCAGAUUUUUGCAUGAGAAAAUGUAUGCAAGUUGUAUUUGUGUUAAGCUAGCUUAGAAACUUUGGCUUUUGUAAUUAACAGUAACUUGGUAUAAAAAGAAACUAGAAGCUUUAUUGAAUUGGUAUGCUUCUAUGCUAGUUUAGGAGGCUAGUCAUAAUUGCUGGCGUGUUGAUACUGGCUCGGAAAUUGGAUGGCCCUGUCAUGGUUAAUGAAUAAAUUGAAGGCUACUUGGAAAUAUGUUGUGUGGCAUGCCUGUUUUGAUUGGCGAAUGUUAUUAGCUUGAUGUUAUGUUUUUAUAUGUUUGGUAGUGAUGCUUGAUGUUAUAUGGUAUGCCAUGAAUGAUGAUUGUUAGAUGCAUUGCCCAUGUAUAUUGUUAUGUUUGAAAUGAAUGUGAGCUUUAAAUUAUAAAAGAA